CUCUCUCAGGACUAGACCUAGCCGCCGCUCUCUCAAGUUUACAAGUUUGCCCAGAUCGGUGACCGGAGUACGGUGGCUCCUCUAGCACCGGCUUCGGUCCUCCUUUUGUUCUUUCCUUUCUUGGUUUUAGUUUUGUGUUAAUUAAAAGAAUCUUGUGGCCUUCGAUUGGGGUUUCGAUUUAGUUUGAUCGGUUUGUGAUUUUGGGUGUUUGUCGGAAGCGGUUUGAGUGUUUCAGAUUUGUGGUUCAGGGCUCUUGCGAAGAUGAUGGAGCCGGAUCUGAGAUCGACGGUGACGAGUAUGUAAUAAAGCCAUUGCUUUUCGCCUUCCCCAAAUCCAGAUCUGUUACUCGCUCUUGUGCUUCAUGGUGUUUUGAUGUCGCGUGCUUGGCUUGUGUGAGCUCUGUAGUUAGCUUUCAUCUUGCCUUAGCCUCUCCGCUCACCCUUAUUGCCUGGUUUAGCUAAUAGUUGCUCGUUUGGUUCGUCUCCUUUCUAAGAUAAGGCCUUUGUUGUGUGAAGUUAUGCUAGUGUCGUUUGGCUUCAGAUCUUUCUUCUCUUAGGUGGAAGUUACUGGUGAUGAUUUCCGUUGUAGAUGAGUGUCGUUUUUUUUCUUGAUUUCGAAGCUCAUCGAGGUGGUUAUGUUUCGCUCCUUGUCUCUGCGUUUCCGAAUCAGGAGGAUGUCGGAUUGCAUCUUUUUGACUUCUAUCAAGGCGUUCUUUGACGCACCCUCGUCGCAGCCGCAUUUGGAAGUGUUUAAUGAGGAUCUAUUUGGACCUUUACUUGUCAGAUUAUGAAGUCAUUGUUACUUGGUUUCGAGAGAUCUUCUCUCAUUGUGAUAGGAGGAAGCAGUUGUGAUUAAUGGUUGGCCUUGGGCAGCAUUGAUAUAGCUCAUUCGCAGAAACUUCAGAAGAAGAAGAUCGAUUUGGUUAUUUUGACUUAGUGUUUAUCUUCUUGUUUAUUUUUAGUUUGCCUCUUUUCUUAGUUUUUGGUUUCGUUCUCUUUCGAUUUCGGCUUUAAAAGUUUAUGUUGUUUUUAGCGUAGACUUAGAUUUUGGGGAAUUCUCUUUUUUCUCCGACUUUGUCUUCGGGGACUUUUCCUUUGUCCGCCGGCUUAGCUUCCCUCUUUUGGGCUUUAGACUCCGGGGAUAUCUUUGUUUUCCGCCGGCUUAAGUAUUUCACCUUGCUCGAAAUCUUACAUUUUUCCUACUUAACUAAUAGAUAACCUACCC
rnacentral:lncRNA from 1 species